rnacentral:rRNA from 1 species
CCUACGGGCGGCAGCAGUGGGGAAUAUUGGACAAUGGGCGAAAGCCUGAUCCAGCCAUGCCGCGUGUGUGAAGAAGGCCUUCGGGUUGUAAAGCACUUUCAGUGGGGAAGAAAGCCUUGGGGCUAAUACCCUCGAGGAAGGACAUCACCCACAGAAGAAGCACCGGCUAACUCCGUGCCAGCAGCCGCGGUAAUACGGAGGGUGCGAGCGUUAAUCGGAAUUACUGGGCGUAAAGCGCGCGUAGGCGGUCUGAUAAGCCGGUUGUGAAAGCCCCGGGCUCAACCUGGGAACGGCAUCCGGAACUGUCAGGCUAGAGUGCAGGAGAGGAAGGUAGAAUUCCCGGUGUAGCGGUGAAAUGCGUAGAGAUCGGGAGGAAUACCAGUGGCGAAGGCGGCCUUCUGGACUGACACUGACGCUGAGGUGCGAAAGCGUGGGUAGCAAACAGGAUUAGAUACCCUUGUAGAC